rnacentral:rRNA from 1 species
GACGAACGCUGGCGGCGCGCUUAACACAUGCAAGUCGAACGGAAAGGCCUGCUUUCCCUUGUGGAUUGCGGGUACUCGAGUGGCGAACGGGUGAGUAACACGUGAGUGAUCUGCCCCCAACUUGGGUAUAAGCCUGGGAAACUGGGUCUAAUUCCCGAUAGGACUGCAGGGUGGUGCCUGUGGUGGAACACGAUCAUCUAGCGGUUGGGGAUGAGCGCGCGGCCUAUCAGCUGGUUGGUGGGGUAAUGGCCUACCAAGGCGGCGACGGGUAGCCGGGCUGGGAGGGUGGACGGCCACAUUGGGACUGAGAUACGGCCCCGACUCCUACGGGAGGCAGCAGUGGGGAAUAGUGCACAAUGGGCGGAAGCCUGAUGCAGCGACGCCGCGUGGGGGAUGACGGCCUUCGGGUUGUAAACUCCUUUCGACCGCGAGGAAGCCACCUGGUUGGAAGGGUGGUGACGGUAGUGGUAGAAGAAGCACCGGCUAACUACGUG